rnacentral:rRNA from 1 species
CAUAAGUUAGAUAGGGAAAGUUUUUCGGUGUAGGAUGAGGCUAUAUUGUAUCAGCUAGUUGGUGAGGUAAUGGCUCACCAAGGCUAUGACGCAUAACUGGUCUGAGAGGAUGAUCAGUCACACUGGAACUGAGACACGGUCCAGACUCCUACGGGAGGCAGCAGUAGGGAAUAUUGCUCAAUGGGGGAAACCCUGAAGCAGCAACGCCGCGUGGAGGAUGACACUUUUCGGAGCGUAAACUCCUUUUGUUAGGGAAGAACAAUGACGGUACCUAACGAAUAAGCACCGGCUAACUCCGUGCCAGCAGCCGCGGUAAUACGGAGGGUGCAAGCGUUACUCGGAAUCACUGGGCGUAAAGGACGCGUAGGCGGAUUAUCAAGUCUCUUGUGAAAUCCUAUGGCUUAACCAUAGAACUGCUUGGGAAACUGAUAAUCUAGAGUGAGGGAGAGGCAGAUGGAAUUGGUGGUGUAGGGGUAAAAUCCGUAGAGAUCACCAGGAAUACCCAUUGCGAAGGCGAUCUGCUGGAACUCAACUGACGCUAAUGCGUGAAAGCGUGGGGAGCAAACAGGAUUAGAUACCCUGGUAGUCCACGCCCUAAACGAUGUAUACUAGUUGUUGCUAAGCUAGUCUUGGCAGUAAUGCACCUAACGGAUUAAGUAUACCGCCUGGGGAGUACGGUCGCAAGAUUAAAACUCAAAGGAAUAGACGGGGACCCGCACAAGCGGUGGAGCAUGUGGUUUAAUUCGAAGAUACGCGAAGAACCUUACCCGGACUUGAUAUCUAACAAAUCAUCUAGAGAUAGAAGAGUGUCUGCUCGCAGAAAUGUUAAGACAGGUGCUGCACGGCUGUCGUCAGCUCGUGUCGUGAGAUGUUGGGUUAAGUCCCGCAACGAGCGCAACCCACGUCAUUAGUUGCUAACAGUUCGGCUGAGCACUCUAAUGAGACUGCCUUCGUAAGGAGG